rnacentral:rRNA from 1 species
GACGAACGCUGGCGGCGUGCUUAACACAUGCAAGUCGAGCGGAAAGGCUCCUUCGGGGGUACUCGAGCGGCGAACGGGUGAGUAACACGUGAGUAAUCUGCCCUUGGCUUUGGGAUAAGCCCCGGAAACGGGUCUAAUACCGGAUACGACGCACUCUCGCAUGGGAUGCGUGUGGAAAGUUUUUCGGCCAGGGAUGUGCUCGCGGCCUAUCAGCUUGUUGGUGGGGUAAUGGCCUACCAAGGCUUCGACGGGUAGCCGGCCUGAGAGGGUGACCGGCCACACUGGGACUGAGACACGGCCCAGACUCCUACGGGAGGCAGCAGUGGGGAAUAUUGGACAAUGGGCGGAAGCCUGAUCCAGCAACGCCGCGUGAGGGAUGACGGCCUCGG